rnacentral:rRNA from 1 species
CUGACUGUGCUAAGGUAGCAUAAUAGCUAGUUAUUUAAUUGAUUUCUGGAAUGAAUGGGUUGACAAAAAAUAAAUUUUCUUAUUAUUUUAUAAAUUUAAUUUUGAAAUAAAAAAGUCUUAAUAAACUAAAAAGACGAUAAGACCUUAAAACCUUUAUAAAAUUUUAUUUUACUGGGGCGGUAAAUUAUUAAAACAUAAUUUUUAACAACAUAUUGAAUGAACUAGUCUAACUUUGUAAAUAUAAAAAGGUACUUUAGGGAUAACAGCAUAAUUUUUAUCUAGAGCUCCUAUCGACAUAUAAGAUUAUGACCUCGAUGUUGAAUUGAUA